rnacentral:rRNA from 1 species
ACCCUACGGGAGGCAGCAGUGAGGAAUAUUGGUCAAUGGGCGAGAGCCUGAACCAGCCAAGUCGCGUGAAGGAUGACGGUCCUAUGGAUUGUAAACCUCUUUUGUCAGGGAGCAAAGGGCGCCACGUGUGGCGUUUUGCGAGUACCUGAGGAAAAAGCAUCGGCUAACUCCGUGCCAGCAGCCGCGGUAAUACGGAGGAUGCGAGCGUUAUCCGGAUUUAUUGGGUUUAAAGGGUGCGCAGGCGGAAUGUCAAGUCAGCGGUAAAAUUUCGGGGCUCAACCCCGUCGUGCCGUUGAAACUGGCGU